AGCGAACGCUGGCGGCAAGCUUAACACAUGCAAGUCGAGCGGGCGUAGCAAUACGUCAGCGGCAGACGGGUGAGUAACGCGUGGGAACAUACCUUUUGGUUCGGAACAACACAGGGAAACUUGUGCUAAUACCGGAUAAGCCCUUACGGGGAAGAUUUAUCGCCGAAAGAUUGGCCCGCGUCUGAUUAGCUAGCUGGUGAGGUAACGGCUCACCAAGGCGACGAUCAGUAGCNGGUCUGAGAGGAUGAUCAGCCACAUUGGGACUGAGACACGGCCCAAACUCCUACGGGAGGCAGCAGUGGGGAAUAUUGGACAAUGGGCGAAAGCCUGAUCCAGCCAUGCCGCGUGAGUGAUGAAGGCCCUAGGGUUGUAAAGCUCUUUUGUGCGGGAAGAUAAUGACGGUACCGCAAGAAUAAGCCCCGGCUAACUUCGUGCCAGCCGCCGCAGUAAC
rnacentral:rRNA from 1 species